rnacentral:rRNA from 1 species
GACGAACCGUCCAAACGUUAUUCGGAAUCACUGGGCUUACAGGGUGCGUAGGCGGCUAUUCAGGUCAGGUGUGAAAGCCCCCGGCUCAACCGGGGAACUGCGCUUGAAACCGAGUGGCUCGAGUCAGCUAGAGGUACACGGAACUUCCAGUGGAGCGGUGAAAUGUGUUGAUAUUGGAAGGAACACCGGAGGCGAAAGCGGUGUACUGGGGCUGGUCUGACGCUGAGGCACGAAAGCCAGGGGAGCGAACGGG